rnacentral:rRNA from 1 species
GACGAACGCUGGCGGCGUGCUUAACACAUGCAAGUCGAACGAAGAGCGAUGGAAGCUUGCUUCUAUCAAUCUUAGUGGCGCACGGGUGAGUAACGCGUAAUCAACCUGCCCUUCAGAGGGGGACAACAGUUGGAAACGACUGCUAAUACCGCAUACGAUCCAAUCUCGGCAUCGGGACUGGAUGAAAGGUGGCCUCUAUUUAUAAGCUAUCACUGAAGGAGGGGAUUGCGUCUGAUUAGCUAGUUGGAGGGGUAACGGCCCACCAAGGCGAUGAUCAGUAGCCGGUCUGAGAGGAUCAACGGCCACAUUGGGACUGAGACACGGCCCAGACUCCUACGGGAGGCAGCAGUGGGGAAUCUUCCGCAAUGGACGAAAGUCUGACGGAGCAACGCCGCGUGAGUGAUGACGGCCUUCGGGUUGUAAAGCUCUGUUAAUCGGGACGAAUGGUUCUUGUGCGAAUAGUGCGAGGAUUUGACGGUACCGGAAUAGAAAGCCACGGCUAACUACGUG